rnacentral:rRNA from 1 species
UACGUAGGGUGCAAGCGUUAUCCGGAAUCACUGGGCGUAAAGCGUGCGUAGGUGGCGUGUUAAGUGUGAUGUUAAAUCGUGUGGCUCAACCAUAUCGAUGCGUCGCAUACUGGCAUGCUAGAGGACAGCAGAGGCAAGUGGAAUUUGUGGUGUAGCAGUGAAAUGCGUAGAUAUUACAAGGAACACCAAUGGCGAAGGCAGCUUGCUGGGCUGCUCCUGACACUGAGGUACGAAAGCGUGGGGAGCGAACAGG